rnacentral:rRNA from 1 species
CCUACGGGGGGCAGCAGUGAGGAAUAUUGGUCAAUGGGCGAGAGCCUGAACCAGCCAAGUCGCGUGAGGGAAGACGGUCCUAUGGAUUGUAAACCUCUUUUGCCGGGGAGCAAAAAGCGGUACGUGUACCGCAUCGAGAGUACCCGGAGAAAAAGCAUCGGCUAACUCCGUGCCAGCAGCCGCGGUAAUACGGAGGAUGCGAGCGUUAUCCGGAUUUAUUGGGUUUAAAGGGUGCGCAGGCGGAGGCACAAGUCAGCGGUAAAAUCGCGCGGCUCAACCCCGCUCCGCCGUUGAAACUGUGUCCC